rnacentral:rRNA from 1 species
CACUGUCACUCCUACGGGGAGCAGCAGUGGGGGAAUAUUGCACAAUGGGCGCAAGCCUGAUGCAGCCAUGCCGCGUGUGUGAAGAAGGCCUUCGGGUUGUAAAGCACUUUCAGUCGUGAGGAAGGUGGUAGUGUUAAUAGCACUAUCAUUUGACGUUAGCGACAGAAGAAAGCACCGGCUAACUCCGUGCCAGCAGCCGCGGUAAUACGGAGGGUGCGAGCGUUAAUCGGAAUUACUGGGCGUAAAGCGCAUGCAGGUGGUUUGUUAAGUCAGAUGUGAAAGCCCGGGGCUCAACCUCGGAAUAGCAUUUGAAACUGGCAGACUAGAGUACUGUAGAGGGGGGUAGGAAUUUCAGGUGUAGCGGUGAAAUGCGUAGAGAUCUGAAGGAAUACCGGUGGCGAAGGCGGCCCCCUCGGACAGAUACUGACACUCAGAUGCGAAAGCGUGGGGAGCAAACAGGAUUAGAUACCCUGGUAG